GGAAUAUUGGACAAUGGGCGCAAGCCUGAUCCAGCCAUGCCGCGUGCAGGAUGACGGUCCUAUGGAUUGUAAACUGCUUUUAUACAGGAAGAAACAGUUCUACGUGUAGAACCUUGACGGUACUGUAAGAAUAAGGAUCGGCUAACUCCGUGCCAGCAGCCGCGGUAAUACGGAGGAUCCAAGCGUUAUCCGGAAUCAUUGGGUUUAAAGGGUCCGUAGGCGGUUUAAUAAGUCAGUGGUGAAAGCCCAUCGCUCAACGGUGGAACGGCCAUUGAUACUGUUAGACUUGAAUUAUUAGGAAGUAACUAGAAUAUGUAGUGUAGCGGUGAAAUGCUUAGAGAUUACAUGGAAUACCAAUUGCGAAGGCAGGUUACUACUAAUUGAUUGACGCUGAUGGACGAAAGCGUGGGUAGCGAACAGGAUUAGAUACCCCGG
rnacentral:rRNA from 1 species